UACGAAGGGGACUAGCGUUGUUCGGAAUUACUGGGCGUAAAGCGCGCGUAGGCGGCUUUGCAAGUCGGGUGUGAAAUCCCCAGGCUUAACCUGGGAACUGCAUUCGAGACUGCAUUGCUAGAGUAUGGGAGAGGGAAGUGGAAUUUCCGGUGUAGCGGUGAAAUGCGUAGAUAUCGGAAGGAACAUCAGUGGCGAAAGCGACUUCCUGGACCAAUACUGACGCUCAUGUGCGAAAGCGUGGGGAGCAAACAGG
rnacentral:rRNA from 1 species